rfam:Lobosporangium transversale strain NRRL 3116 BCR41scaffold_3, whole genome shotgun sequence.
CAAAAGGCAUUUCUUAAUGCCACAAAUUUAUUAAAAAGCAACUGU